rnacentral:rRNA from 1 species
AUGCCACCCACUGCCGGAAGACUAGCUCUGCUCACCUCCGUUUUAUAUGCCUGGACAAUAUUCCAAAUUUUGGCUAUUGAACCUCCUCGCUGGGCUGUCAAGAAGUUUGACAAAUGUUUCCUAGGUUUCCUUUGGGAAAAUAAAGAUGAGGCUACUGGGGGCAAAUGCCUAAUGAACUGGAAGCAAGUUUGCCUGCCUAAAAAGCUUGGUGGCCUUGGGAUUCCUUGUCUGGACCAAAAAAGUGAGGCAAUGCGAUGCAAAUGGUUAUGGAUCUCUUGGAUGGACGCUUCUCGGACCUGACGUGGGUUACCUUUGCCUAUUAAUUGCUCGGUCAGGUGUCCUUUCGAGGCAUCGGUUCAAUUCAACAUUGGCAAUGGCGCAAACACCAAGUUUUUUGGACCGACCCUUGGCACAAUAGAGAGAGUUUCUGUAAGAGGUUCCCUGACUUGUUCAUGCAAUGCACUAUCAAAACAAUCUCCAUCCAAUAUGGUAUGA